rnacentral:sRNA from 1 species
UCGGCACCUGAAGCCAUGACAGUUGCCAUGUCAACAUAUAUGAUAAAUUGUACGAAGCAUCGCGUCGGCUGCUUCAAAUGAUGUGUUAUGGAAAUUCGACGUCUCAAGAAAAGGCGACGGCUUCUAUAUAGGAGGAGGCUGCUUCAACUGUGGAGGAGGCGGCUUCAACUGUGGAGGAGCCGACUUCGACUGUGGAGGGAGACGGCAGCUUUAUAUAGAAGAAGACGGCGACUUCAACUAUAGAGGACGCGGUUGCCUCAGUUAUGAGAAGGAGACGGCUUCUACUAUUGAGGAGGCUAUGAGGAAACGGCAGCUUUAAUAUUGGAGACGAUGGCAUCAACAUAGAGGAGACGGCCGCCUCAGCUAUCAGGAUGCUGCUUUAACAAUUGGGCAGACGGUGGCUUGAGAAAAGGAGUAGUUUGGCGGCCUGAGUUAAAGGAGGCGUAACGGCUUUAAUUUUGGAGGAGGUGGAAUCAAUUUCAAAUGUGGCCAUUGAGAAAACUGUGAUGUGUUAAUAUAAAGGUUCGAUUCCCGCCAACUGAUUGAUGACGAUAAAAACAAGCAUGCGUGUGAAUUUACAGGCACAUCGGACGUGUCCUCGAGGAGCACAAAUAAAUUAUGGCUGAAACAAAAGACUUGGCACAUGUGACACACCUCGGAGGAAGAUAUUUUAUGUAUCAUAUAAAACUAUGACGAUACCAUUAACAGGAUCAAUAGGAUCACCAGGAUGCACUAAUUUAAAUUAAACAUAAUUAAAUGGGUUAAUAACUAAGCAUUAGCUUAAGCUUUUGCUUAAUAGCGACAACGAAAGUAUGCAUUUCUGUUCCCCUGUUAUUUCAGCUGCAAUUCUUAUUCAAAUCUGAUCCAGCUAGCGGCGAGACCAACAACAACCGUUAAUAUUU